AUUUUUUUUCUAUAGUUCAAAUAAUCCAAGAUAAUCAAAUAUCUUCUAUCUCAAACUUUUCAUGUUGGAUUCACCAAAUAUGUCGUAAUACGUGAAAUCUUACUUAAGAAUGUUCUCAGCACUUGGCUGUAGAAGGUAGAAUAAAAAUUGCUACAAAAAAAUCUUAAUUCUAAUAGAACACUAAUAAUGUGAAACAAGCUUUAAUAAAAUUUACAGAAACUUCAAAAGAAUUACAAAGAAACAAUAAGAAAUUUUAAAGAAAUAUUAGAAUGAUUACAAACAUAUCUCAAAUACAUCUCAAUUCAAUCUUAAUUUAAUUCUAGUUGAAAUCCUAUUAGACUUCAUUCAAAAUUUAGGCCAAAAACUAACUAAAUUUUAAAUCCUAAAUAAACUCAAAUAAAAUCCUAAACUUUAAAUCAAACCCUAAUCAAUCCUAAAUUCUAAACCAAAUCCUAAUUAAAUCCUAAUCCUAAAUCAAAUCCUAAUCAAAUUCUAAAUCCGAAACCAAACCCUAAUCCUAAAUAAAACCUUAAUCAAACCAUAACUCUAAAUCAAAUCCUAAACCAAAUCUUAACCAAAUUCUAAUCCUAACCAAAUUCUAAAUCCUAAAUCAAAUCCUAAUCCUAAAUCCUAACCUUUAAUCAAAUCCUAACCAAAUCCUAAACCCUAAAUCAAAUCCUAAUC
rnacentral:lncRNA from 1 species